GUGUCGAGCACCUUCUGUGCGUGCACGCUUGGUCUCCACGUCAUCCGCCAUGCUGGCGCCGCGCAGGCGUCACGGGCCCCACCUGUCAGCGUCCGCAGCUAGCCCAACCUCGGUUCUGUUCCGACCCACCAUCCCAGUCAGCCGCCAAGUCAGCUCCUGGACCCGCGCGUCAGUGUCUCUGGCUGGCUAUCUCUUCGCAUUUGCUUCUUCCCGGAUAGGAUCACGAAGUGUUGAUGUGAGAUACGA